UAAGAAUCCCCCUUAAACAAUCAGAACCUCACAAAAUCAAAUAAUAAAAAAAAUGUGAGACCACCUUCAUCCUUCGUCAUUUCCUCUUCGUUCCUCUUCCGUCCUUUUCGCUGCGAAGCUCCCAGCCACCAUCGGUGCGAUCCCCUCUUCUCAACCUCAUCAGCGUCGUCCAUCAUCCACCAUCACCCAAGCACCACCGUCCAUCUUUCCUCUGAAAUCGCAGCCCUUCAAUUUGCUGCUCCCUACUCCAAUUCGAUCAACGACCAUCAACACGACCAUCACCCUCGAUUAAUCAUCAUCAUCAACAUCAUAACCGUCGCUGCUCCAUAUCGUUUCCCAAUCAACAAUUCAAUCGCAGCCGUUGAGCAUCAUUUAAUCCGUACAACCAAACGCGCUCAAAUGUUCGAACGAACUCUAAUGGAAGUUCGGUCGAACUUCAUUGUGGUUUGGGCGAACUUCAUUCAGGUUCGACCGAACCUCAUGCAAUCAGGAACUCUAAAUUUUCGGUUCAGUAGAACAUAAUUACGGAUGGUGAGGAGAUGAAGGUGGUGUGGCAAGGUUCGUGGGCUGGUCUUGGCUGAAAGGCAGCAGUAGGAAUGUUGCUGCAGUUUGCUCGUGUGAUGGCUGUGCAAGGCUAAGAUGGUGGGCUGCAGUUAGUGUGGUGUAGGUUAGAGUGAUGUGGGGUGUAGGAUAUGAGUGGGUGUUGCAUAGGGUAGCUGCUUAUAUUUUGCAAAAGUUGUAUGGCACAUUAGCUUGCAUUUGUUCCUUUGAUCUUGAA